UACAGAGGGUGCAAGCGUUGUUCGGAAUUAUUGGGCGUAAAGCGCGUGUAGGCGGCUUGGCAAGUCAGAUGUGAAAGCCCUCGGCUUAACCGAGGAAGUGCGUCUGAAACUGCUGAGCUUGAGUGUCGGAGAGGAUGGCGGAAUUCCGCAAGUAGAGGUGAAAUUCGUAGAUAUGCGGAGGAACACCGGUGGCGAAGGCGGCCAUCUGGACGACCACUGACGCUGAGAC
rnacentral:rRNA from 1 species